rnacentral:rRNA from 1 species
CCCUGCUUUUGUGGGAUGCUCGAGUGGCGAACGGGUGAGUAACACGUGAGUAACCUGCCCUUGACUUUGGGAUAACUUCAGGAAACUGGGGCUAAUACCGGAUAGGAGCUCCUGCUGCAUGGUGGGGGUUGGAAAGUUUCGGCGGUUGGGGAUGGACUCGCGGCUUAUCAGCUUGUUGGUGGGGUAGUGGCUUACCAAGGCUUUGACGGGUAGCCGGCCUGAGAGGGUGACCGGCCACAUUGGGACUGAGAUACGGCCCAGACUCCUACGGGAGGCAGCAGUGGGGAAUAUUGCACAAUGGGCGGAAGCCUGAUGCAGCAACGCCGCGUGCGGGAUGACGGCCUUCGGGUUGUAAACCGCUUUCGCCUGUGACGAAGCGUGAGUGACGGUAAUGGGUAAAGAAGCACCGGCUAACUACGUGCCAGCAGCCGCGGUGAUACGUAGGGUGCGAGCGUUGUCCGGAUUUAUUGGGCGUAAAGGGCUCGUAGGUGGUUGAUCGCGUCGGAAGUGUAAUCUUGGGGCUUAACCCUGAGCGUGCUUUCGAUACGGGUUGACUUGAGGAAGGUAGGGGAGAAUGGAAUUCCUGGUGGAGCGGUGGAAUGCGCAGAUAUCAGGAGGAACACCAGUGGCGAAGGCGGUUCUCUGGGCCUUUCCUGACGCUGAGGAGCGAAAGCGUGGGGAGCGAACAGGCUUAGAUACCCUGGUAGUCCACGCUGUAAACGGUGGGUACUAGGUGUGGGGUCCAUUCCACGGGUUCCGUGCCGUAGCUAACGCUUUAAGUACCCCGCCUGGGGAGUACGGCCGCAAGGCUAAAACUCAAAGGAAUUGACGGGGCCCCGCACAAGCGGCGGAGCAUGCGGAUUAAUUCGAUGCAACGCGUAGAACCUUACCUGGGUUUGACAUGGAUCGGGAGCGCUCAGAGAUGGGUGUGCCUCUUUUGGGGUCGGUUCACAGGUGGUGCAUGGCUGUCGUCAGCUCGUGUCGUGAGAUGUUGGGUUAAGUCCCGCAACGAGCGCAACCCUUGUUCACUGUUGCCAGCACGUUAUGGUGGGGACUCAGUGGAGACCGCCGGGGUCAAC